GUUGAACGCUGGCGGCGUGCCUAAUACAUGCAAGUCGAGCGAACAGACGAGGAGCUUGCUCCUCUGACGUAGCGGCGGACGGGUGAGUAACACGUGGAUAACCUACCUAUAAGACUGGGAUAACUUCGGGAAACCGGAGCUAAUACCGGAUAAUAUAUUGAACCGCAUGGUUCAAUAGUGAAAGACGGUUUUGCUGUCACUUAUAGAUGGAUCCGCGCCGCAUUAGCUAGUUGGUAAGGUAACGGCUUACCAAGGCGACGAUGCGUAGCCGACCUGAGAGGGUGAUCGGCCACACUGGAACUGAGACACGGUCCAGACUCCUACGGGAGGCAGCAGUAGGGAAUCUUCCGCAAUGGGCGAAAGCCUGACGGAGCAACGCCGCGUGAGUGAUGAAGGUCUUCGGAUCGUAAAACUCUGUUAUUAGGGAAGAACAAAUGUGUAAGUAACUAUGCACGUCUUGACGGUACCUAAUCAGAAAGCCACGGCUAACUACGUG
rnacentral:rRNA from 1 species